AGCACGAUGGCCGAGUGGUUAAGGCGUUGGACUUAAGUUCCAAUGGACAAAAGUCCUCGUGGGUUCGAACCCCACUCGUGCUA
rnacentral:tRNA from 1 species